GACGAACGCUGGCGGCGUGCUUAACACAUGCAAGUCGAACGAAGAGCGAUGGAAGCUUGCUUCUAUCAAUCUUAGUGGCGAACGGGUGAGUAACGCGUAAUCAACCUGCCCUUCAGAGGGGGACAACAGUUGGAAACGACUGCUAAUGCCGCAUACGAUCUGACCUCGGCAUCGAGGAUAGAUGAAAGGUGGCCUCUAUUUAUAAGCUAUCACUGAAGGAGGGGAUUGCGUCUGAUUAGCUAGUUGGAGGGGUAACGGCCCACCAAGGCGAUGAUCAGUAGCCGCUCUGAGAGGAUGAGCGGCCACAUUGGGAGGGAGACACGCCCCAGACUCCUACGGAAGGCAGCAGUGGGGACUCUUCCGCAAUGGACGAAGGUCUGACGGAGCAGCGCCGCGUGAGUGAUGACGGCCUUCGGGUUGUAAAGCUCUGUUAAUCGGGACGAAAGGCCUUCUUGCGAAUAGUUAGAAGGAUUGACGGUACCGGAAUAGAAAGCCACGGCUAACUACGUG
rnacentral:rRNA from 1 species